UGGAAAAUGGACAUCUGCUUCUUUGUUCUACACAGAGAGAGAGAGAGGGGUGGAGAAAGGGAAUGGGUUCUGCUUUCGCAUCUAGGCUGAUUGAGGGUUAAGGGACUCAUCCAAUUCGCAAUAGCAUCAUGUUAUCAAAAUGAACAUGAACUAAGAAUCAGCGAGUGUGGAAGAGGAGGGAUUUACUUGAUGUCCUGCAAAUAUUGGUGUUACGCCAUUUGCAGAGAAGAGUGUGCAGGCUUGCGAUCGCUGUUGAGGUCCAAAGACCAAGUCUCCUGCAGGUGUUUAGAGAGGUACAGGUAGGAACAUUCCAACAAAAAAUUGGAUGCUGCUGUUGGCAAAACUGGUGGUGAGAAAUGACAAUCGUUUUCUGAUGUUGUAAAAAAUAUAUAGGAGAAAGAACCCUACUAGGUGAAGGCAGAGAAGAGGAAGGUUGAAUACAACAAGAACAUGGAUGUGUACGAAAAGAAACAACAAAUCUGAUAUAACUCCCCUAGGUCCACUCCUUGACAAGACUGAGCUUUAUUUCACCAAGAAUCAAUGACAAGAUGGACCUAUUUGAAGAGAAGCAAGUUGUUGGUUAGAUGAUAGAAACAAUUGUGCAUUCAACCAACUGCGAGUUGUCAAAAAACAAUAAUGCAGACAUUCAAGAUUAUGACAUGAAAGUCGGAUGGUAAUAUACUGUGUUAAUUAGGGUCAUGUUAUCAGUCACAGAGAAUUGAACUUUGCUUCCUCAUAAGUUGGUCCUACACUGUUCCUAAGCACUGUUCAUAACUGUUCACCUGCAAAAUGGCAGUUCUGCCCUCGAGUUGUAUACAGAGAUAAAAAAGGCGUCAGUUAUAUGGUGUGUUCUGGAAGCCUUCAUCGCAUUUAGUCACAUGCAAAUCGAUCUAUUUUCCUCUUUCUCUUGCCAGUCGCAGUGAAUCCAAUCCAAAUCGCUCUUGCUCUUACUCGAAUCAACAAAUUUCUCUCGCUCUCCUCGCACAAAAAUCCAAAACCGAGAUAGAAAUACAUUUCCUGCUCAAAAUCUCAAACUUGCUACCGGUCAGUUUAUUGUUUUGAGAUCAAUCGGCUUUGGUGGAAUCUUGAAUCUCCAAUUGCCAGCCGGGUUCAAAUCUUCUUCAGUUGCUUCUGAGAUCAAUAUUGGAGCAAACCCAGACUCGAUUAUGGAAUCCAUCAGUUGAGGUUAAAAAAGACCCACUUCAGAUUGUUAAGGAUUCUGCUGCAUUGAAUGUGUUUAGAGAAGUGAAGGUGUCUGAUAAGAAGAAGAUUAUUGUAUCAGAUCUGGAAAUCUAGGGCGACCAAAAGGGAGUAAGAAAUGCAGACACAAACUAAACUCAUGAAGAGGAACAACUCCAUGAUUGGCUCUCUCUUUCUCACUGCCAAUUUGAGAAUAAACAGUCUUCGCUCUGCUCAAAUGUAUUUCCCUAGACUCUUUUAUGCCAACAAGAGUAACACUUUGUAGCUGAUAAGUGAACAAAGAAUUAAUACCAAACAAGUGAUGCCAGGAGUAGCUCUACAUAGGUUCAAAGAACACCCAGUGGACUUCUCUUUAUUAGUAGUAACUUGUAGUAUGUUACAAGCUCGACCUUGGUGCUAUUCAUAUUCUCGAAAUCCAUAAGUAGUACACAUGUGAAGCAACAGACUACACAUGUGAAGCAACAGACUACACAUCUGAAGAACUCAUAUGGAAUGAUUGGUUCAAUCUUAAAUUACAAGUGUUCGUCUCCUAUGGGACUCCACGUGGCUCUGUUUCUGUGCUCCACGAACAGAGUGCAUAAAGAGUUCAAGAACGAUCAAGAAAGUGAGAGACAGGGAAAGAACGAUAGGGAGAGAAGACCGAUUUCAAUUCGAUCUGUUUCAAUUUCCACCAAGAUGCGCUCUCUUUGGUUAUGUGUUCAGAGAAAUAAGUAUCUCAAUUGUGACGGAGGAAGAAGCAGCUCUAAGCGACUCAGGGUAGGAGAAGAAGACAGACUGUGACUGGAAAGCUUUUUUGAAGCAGCUGAAAGUGUUCCUGGGUUUUGGAUGAAAGAAAGCAGGGAUAGUUUUGAUUCUCUGUGAUAUGGAGUUAAUGCCAUGGAAAUUGGUGAAUAAGCUUGACUUUGAGCUUCAUUCAGUUGCUAUGUCCUGCUCUUGAUGAACUCAAGUUAGAAGAUCCAUUCACUUCCAAUUGUCAUGACCGAGACAGAAAGAGGAAGACUCGACAAAUACAAAGAUUUUACAUGACUAUCCAGAACCUUCCUACACCAUGGAUCCUAUUCAAAUACAAGUUGUCUGUAGAUUUGUAAACUUUGGCAUUAAUAGUACAGAAUGUACUCAUUUUCUAAUGGUUGCUAUUGCAUAGUAUAUUUUAGGAAGAUUUAGUAGCGCGUGCAGAGACAGAGAGAGAGUGUGAAAGGAAAACAGGAGUGAUCGAUCUGGAUUUGUUUGACAAGAGGUGUAGAGAUAGAGAGAAACUGUGAAAGGAGAAGAUCAGAAGGAAUCAAUGUUGGACAAGAGGCUUCCAAUGAAGAAGACAGGACAUCAGUUGAUAGCAGCCCACCAGAAUCAGCAACAAAUGAUCUUCUCAUCAACGCGAAUGAAACACCAACAACAGAUGAACCAAAUGAUGAUACCUUUGAAGAACUCAUGUAAAGUAACUGGUUCGAAAGAUAAAUGCAGAUUAUUUUGAUGAGAACUACCUACCUUUGCAAUUAGAGUUUAGGAACUCUGGUUAGAAUGAUCAUUUUUUGAACAAAUGUUGGUUAAAAUACCCGUUUCUGUGCAAAACAUCAAUUUCUGAAAUAUGUGAAUAGACAAAUCUGGUCAAAACUCCAGCUUUUGAAUGAUAAUAUUUUAAAUUAGUGUUUCUUAUA